rnacentral:RNase_P_RNA from 1 species
GAGCGGGCCGGACGGCCGCGGGCAUAAGGCGAAAGCCUGUGCGUGAGGAAAGUCCGGGCUCCAUAGGGCAAGGAUAACGGGUAACACCCGCCAGGGGCGACCCUCGGACAAGUGCAACAGAGAUAUACCGCCGGGCAGGGCCUAUGCCCAGCCCGGUAAGGCUGGAAAGGCGAGGUAAGAGCUCACCCAUCGCCUGGAGACAGGUGGAUGCUGUAAACUCUAUCCGGAGCAACACCGUGGAGGGACAUAUAGGCCGGCCCGGCCGUCCCGAGGAGGUGGCUAAAGCCUUGCGGCAACGUAAGGCGUAGAUAGAUGGCCGUCGAUUACAGAACCCGGCUUACAGGCCCGCUCUU